rnacentral:rRNA from 1 species
GCAAGUCGAACGAUCCUUGUAUUUAUAUAAGGAUAGUGGCAAACGGGGUAGUAACAGGUAGGAACAUACCCAUGAGUCGUGAAUAACUGCGAGAAAUCGUAGCUAAUACACGAUAUCCCUCCGGGGGAAAGAUUUAUCGCUCAUGGAAUGGCCUGCUUCGUAUCAGCUAGUUGGUGAGGUAACUGCUCACCAAGGCGACGACGCGUAGGGGAAGUGAGAGCCUGACC